rnacentral:lncRNA from 1 species
AGACACCUACCCUGGCCGGAAGACAGCUACCCUGGCUGGAAAACACGUACCCCUGAAGAUCUGAAGAUCGAGAAAGACGCCGUGCGGGUACUAUGUAGCAGUCAGGUCAAGGAGCAUCUGUAGCUGCUUGGAUCUACAUUAACCUCAUUUAUCUAUACCCUACCUAUGUGAGUCUUGGAAACUUGUCUCAUAUAAACAAUGAGCUAGCCUAAAAAAGGGGACUUUGACAAUUGCUUCAUCGGUCUUUGUCACUCUGGAAAUAUCAGCAUCUGCAUGUUGAAAAAGGUCUCAUUAUAUUAGCUUUCCAUAAGCUGUCACCUGAUUAUAAGACCUCUUUUGCACCUUCCCAGGUGAGUCAUCAGAAAAUUCUUUAGUUUUAUACAUUUGUAGGUCCAAUGCAUUUUAAUUAAAUUUAAUAUAUUUAAUAUAUACAAAUUAAAUAUACUUCAUAUAUAAGGUUACCCCUUAUUUAUAUGGAUUAAACUGACUAAAAUUAAAUGAUAUAGCCAAGUUAAUAUUAUUUCAUGUUUAUCAGUAUUUCAUUGCUUCAUUGCUACAUAAUCUGUUUUUAGGUAUAAUAUUAAAUCACAUAAAAACUCAUAAGUGAAUACUUAAUCUUUUUGUUUCUAUAUUGGGUCACAAGUACUGAGACAAAUUAUGUAACUUUAAAUAUUAUUAACUUUGGAAUCCUUGUUUAUAACACAACUAUAAUUGUUUAUUUUUCUUUUGCUUUUUAGAACUUUCCUGCUAUGUUUAUCUGAGUUUUGUGGUAACAUACGAGACUUACCUUUGAAUGUAUAAAACUGGCUAGUUUUACAUGAUCUGAACUUGAGAAGCGGUUUCUUAGGUUUCAAGACAACAUGCUAAAUACAUAGGACCAUCUACUGGCAAAGGAUGAUAUAGUCCUAAGGACUGGUUUUGUUGGAACUUGUAAUAGCCCAAGUUAAAGAUCAUGAAGAUUGUGAAGCCCAAAAGUGUAUUAUUGAGGGAAUCCUGCUGCCAGAAUAUGCUUAUCACUUAAAUUGCAACAGAGUGGUCUUAGAUAGAAAAUACAAGAGCUGAGAAGAUACUACAAAACAAGUAAGUCAUUUAUAUGGAGUCACAACAUCUAACUGGCAUACAUUUGUUUAAUAUUGAUAUAGUAAAAUAUUUCAUGAGGGCUCUGACAAGGACUGUCUUGUUAAUCUCUGAAUCCCUAGCAUAGCAACUGGUACAUGGAAGUGUCAACAAGUAUUUACUGAAUCAGUGAAUGAAUAAUGACAACCAGGGCCUCAAAACUUUUGAAAAUUUGCCUUAUAUUCUCCCUCUCCCAUAGGACCACACCCAUAAUUUAAAAUAAAAAAAAUACAAAGUGUAACAUAAGUUCCCUUUUUAGAUGAAAAGUGCAUCUAUCUGUUUGGUUAACCAGAAACCUUGAGUCAGUAAAAAUUAUACUUAAUAUUUACGUUAAAAAUAGUAAUAAUGAAAAAUGACCUAAACUAAUUAAAAGAAGGUUAUGUGGACUUGCAUAGGCUUUAUAAUCAAAUAUUGCUCAUGUCAAAUUUCAGCUCUAUAGUUUGGGUAUUGUAUGAGGUUGGAUUAAUUACUUAACCUUUCUCUCCUCAUUUUCCUCUUUUAUUAAAUUAGCAUUUUGUUUAUACCCUACAAAGAUUUGGUGAAGUCUGUAAAUGCAAUGAUUUGUGCCUACUUGGUAAGUACUAAUAAUAAAUCCAGCUGUUGACUUUUUGUCUGACUGAGGGCAUUCAUUUUCCUAAUUUUCAAUGGUCACAAGCAUCUUCGGACAGGGACCAAAUUUUAUUUAGUAAUAGAACUUAGCACAGUGCCUGGCAUAGGUAGAUACUUAUUAAAUGUGUUGUAUUAAUAAAGAAAAUUAAUAUUUAAAUAACUAUUUGGUGACUAUUGUCUAUAGUUCUACACACGGUUAUAUACAAUACAAUGUCUAAGUAAGGCGUAUAUAGACAUAUACCCAACAUGGCCAUUUGCAGUAUAGAAACAGGGUAUUUUGUAAAAAUGGAAUAAUUUGUAAUUCCUUUGAUUAAUCUAGUCUUUUUCUUAAUGGUUAAGGAAUUCAUAAGGAAUGAUGAGUUCAAGUAAAUACACAUCAGAUGGAAAUUAUAUUAUAAUGUACUCACACACAGCCACAAUUUCAUUUAGCUACAUAAUGAUUUUUACCUUUAAGGACAUUUUUCUCAUUCAUUUUCAUUAAUACAAUUCUGGCUUAUAAAUAGACCAUUGGUUUUGAAAAUUUCACAAUAUGAAAUGUAAACCAGCCCUGAACUUGGUAGUCAGGAAAAGCAUCAACAA